CCUACGGGAGGCAGCAGUGAGGAAUAUUGGUCAAUGGGCGAGAGCCUGAACCAGCCAAGUCGCGUGAAGGAUGACGGCCCUACGGGUUGUAAACUUCUUUUGUCAGGGAGCAAUUGGGUCCACGCGUGGGCUUAGCGAGAGUACCUGAAGAAAAAGCAUCGGCUAACUCCGUGCCAGCAGCCGCGGUAAUACGGAGGAUGCGAGCGUUAUCCGGAUUUAUUGGGUUUAAAGGGUGCGUAGGCGGAAUAUCAAGUCAGCGGUAAAAAUUCGGGGCUCAACCCCGUCGUGCCGUUGAAACUGAUGUUCUUGAGUGGGCGAGAAGUAUGCGGAAUGCGUGGUGUAGCGGUGAAAUGCGUAGAUAUUAGGAGGAACACCAGUGGCGAAGGCGGCUUACUGGACUGUAACUGACGUUGAGGCUCGAAAGCGUGGGGAGCAAACAGGAUUAGAUACCCUAGUAGUC
rnacentral:rRNA from 1 species